rnacentral:rRNA from 1 species
GACGAACGCUGGCGGCGUGCUUAACACAUGCAAGUCGAACGGGAACCUUUAUUUCGGUAAAGGUGAGAGUGGCAAACGGGUGAGUAACACGUAGGCAACCUGCCGACAGGAUGGGGACAACAUUCCGAAAGGAAUGCUAAUACCGAAUGGAGUGCGGAGAUGGCAUCAUCUCCGGAUAAAAGAUGGCCUCUGAAUAUGCUAUCGCCUGUCGAUGGGCCUGCGUCUGAUUAGCCAGUUGGCGGGGUAACGGCCCACCAAAGCGACGAUCAGUAGCCGGUCUGAGAGGAUGAACGGCCACAUUGGGACUGAGACACGGCCCAGACUCCUACGGGAGGCAGCAGUGGGGAAUCUUCCACAAUGGGCGAAAGCCUGAUGGAGCAACGCCGCGUGAGUGAAGAAGGUCUUCGGAUCGUAAAGCUCUGUUGCACGGGACGAAAACCGAGCUUGAGAAUAUUGAGUU